AUGUAUUUUUAAAGCAGACGAAGAAAUAUACAUGUAUGAAGAAAUGUACAUGCAGACAGACCUACGAUGAUUUGAAGUAGACUUAUGUAUAAAAGGACAGUUUUUAUUUGUUAAAAACAUGAUUUGAUUACUUUUAUUAACUUCCAAUAAAUUAUUUAACGGCGAAAUUCACGGUAAAAUAUUAAAACGAGAAAUCAUCUUUUAUUGUUGACAUUUCAGCGCAGUCAUCCGAUAACAUUUUUUUUUAUAGUUCCGGCUAAUCUUUUCUGAUUGGCCGACACUCUAGCGCAUGAAUUAGAUUAAUACGCUGUUGCUAAGGACCUUAGAAACUAGCGAUAAUUUUCAUUCUCACUCUACACGAGUGAUAUGAAAAUUAUCACAAAAAAACAUCAAAGGAAAAAUACAGAUAAUAGCGAUAAU
rnacentral:lncRNA from 1 species